rnacentral:rRNA from 1 species
GUGUCAGCCGCCGCGGUAAUACGUAGGUGGCAAGCGUUGUCCGGAUUUACUGGGCGUAAAGGAUGUGUAGGCGGAUAUUUAAGUGAGAUGUGAAAUCCCCGGGCUUAACUUGGGGGCUGCAUUUCAAACUGGAUGUCUAGAGUGCAGGAGAGGAAAGCAGAAUUCCUAGUGUAGCAGUGAAAUGCGUCGGAAUUAGGAAGAAAACCAGGGGCUAAGGCGGCUUUCUGGA